rnacentral:rRNA from 1 species
GAACGCUGGCGGCGUGCCUAAUACAUGCACUUUGAACGCACUGACGUCGACAGAAGGUGCUUGCACUGGAAGUUGAUUGACGUGAGUGGCGGACGGGUGAGUAACACGUGGGUAACCUGCCCUUAAGCGGGGGAUAACAUUUGGAAACAGAUGCUAAUACCGCAUAAAAGUUGAGAUCACAUGGUCUUAAUUUGAAAGACGGCCUUUGGCUGUCACUUAAGGAUGGACCCGCGGCGUAUUAGCUAGUUGGUGAGAUAAUAGCCCACCAAGGCGAUGAUACGUAGCCGACCUGAGAGGGUAAUCGGCCACAUUGGGACUGAGACACGGCCCAAACUCCUACGGGAGGCAGCAGUAGGGAAUCUUCCACAAUGGACGAAAGUCUGAUGGAGCAACGCCGCGUGAGUGAAGAAGGUUUUCGGAUCGUAAAACUCUGUUGUUGGAGAAGAACAGGGACUAGAGUAACUGUUAGUCCUUUGACGGUAUCCAACCAGAAAGCCACGGCUAACUACGUGCCAGCAGCCGCGGUAAUACGUAGGUGGCAAGCGUUGUCCGGAUUUAUUGGGCGUAAAGCGAGCGCAGGCGGUUUCUUAAGUCUGAUGUGAAAGCCUUCGGCUUAACCGAAGAAGUGCAUCAGAUACUGGGAAACUUGAGUGCAGAAGAGGAAAGUGGAACUCCAUGUGUAGCGGUGAAAUGCGUAGAUAUAUGGAAGAACACCAGUGGCGAAGGCGGCUUUCUGGUCUGUAACUGACGCUGAGGCUCGAAAGUAUGGGGAGCGAACAGGAUUAGAUACCCUGGUAGUCCAUACCGUAAACGAUGAAUGCUAAGUGUUGGAGGGUUUCCGCCCUUCAGUGCUGCAGCUAACGCAUUAAGCAUUCCGCCUGGGGAGUACGACCGCAAGGUUGAAACUCAAAGGAAUUGACGGGGGCCCGCACAAGCGGUGGAGCAUGUGGUUUAAUUCGAAGCUACGCGAAGAACCUUACCAGGUCUUGACAUCUAGCGCCAAUCCUAGAGAUAGGACGUUCCCUUCGGGGACGCUAAGACAGGUGGUGCAUGGUUGUCGUCAGCUCGUGUCGUGAGAUGUUGGGUUAAGUCCCGCAACGAGCGCAACCCUUAUGAUUAGUUGCCAGCAUUAAAUGGGGCACUCUAAUCAGACUGCCGGUGACAA